rnacentral:rRNA from 1 species
AGUGAACGCUGGCGGUAGGCCUAACACAUGCAAGUCGAACGGCAGCACAGUAAGAGCUUGCUCUUACGGGUGGCGAGUGGCGGACGGGUGAGGAAUACAUCGGAAUCUACUUUUUCGUGGGGGAUAACGUAGGGAAACUUACGCUAAUACCGCAUACGACCUACGGGUGAAAGCAGGGGAUCUUCGGACCUUGCGCGAUUGAAUGAGCCGAUGUCGGAUUAGCUAGUUGGCGGGGUAAAGGCCCACCAAGGCGACGAUCCGUAGCUGGUCUGAGAGGAUGAUCCGCCACACUGGAAGUGAGACACGGUCCAGACUCCGACGGGAGGCAGCAGUGGGGAAUAUUGGACAAUGGGCGCAAGCCUGAUCCAGGCAUACCGCGUGGGUGAAGAAGGCCUUCGGGUUGUAGAGCCCUUUUGUUGGGAAAGAAAAGCAGCAGGUUAAUACCCCGCUGUUCUGACGGUACCCAAAGAAUAAGCACCGGCUAACUUCGUG